CAAAAGUUUGGUCCUGACUUUACUAUCAAUUUGACCCUGGCUUAUACAUGCAAGUAUCCGCACCCCUGUGAGAAUGCCCCACAGUUCCCCGCCUGGGAACAAGGAGUUGGUAUCAGGCACAGACACAUGCCCACGACACCUUGCUCAUAGCCACACCCCCAAGGGGUCCCAGCAGUAAUAAGUAUUAAGCAAUAAGUGAAAGCUUGACUUAGCUAAGGUUCAGAGGGCAGGUAAAAACUUGUGCCAGCCACCGCGGUUACACUUGUUGCCCGAGUUGAUAGAAGCCGGCGUAAAGGGUGGUUAGGAUCUUCUAUGAAUAGAGCCAAAUGCCCUCAAGGCUGUCAUAAGCACCCGAGGGGAAGAAGCCCAACUACGAAAGUGGCUCUACGAAAUCUGACCCCACGAAGGCUGGGGCACAAACUGGGAUUAGAUACCCCACUAUGCCCUGCCGUAAACCAAGAUAAUAAAUUACCACAUUAUCCGCCCGGGGACUACAAGCGCAAGCUUAAAACCCAAAGGACUUGGCGACGCUUAAGACCCACCUAGAGGAGCCUGUUCUAGAACCGAUAAUCCCCGUUCAACCCGACCCUUUCUUGUUCAUACCCCGCCUGUAUACCUCCGUCGUCAGCUUACCCUGUGAAGGCCUAAAAGUAAGCACAAUUGGCAAACCCCCCAAUACGUCAGGUCGAGGUGCAGCUAAUGGAAGGGAAAGAAUGGGCUACAUUCCCUGUAUAAGCGCAUACGGAUAAUACACUGAAACGCGUAUUUGAAGGAGGAUUUAGCAGUAAGCACAAAAUAGAGCGUUGUGCUGAAGCCGGCCCUAAAGCACGUACACACCGCCCGUCACUCUCCCCGAACAGUAACUCUCACUAACUAAAACCCUAUAAAAGAAAAGGGGAGGCAAGUCGUAACAUGGUAAGUGUACCGGAAGGUGCACUUGGAAAAGA
rnacentral:ncRNA from 1 species